GCCUAGUUAGCUUAGUUGAUAGUGCGUCUGCCUUGUAAGCGCUAGGCCGUGGGUUCGAUUCCCGCCCGGGGCG
rnacentral:tRNA from 1 species